rnacentral:lncRNA from 10 species
UUGUUUUGGCCUAAGAGCUCCGAAAAUGGUAACAAUUCCCUGCAAACUCUGUCCUUCACGAGGAAAGCCAGGGUCCAGGCCUGCCUUCUAGAGGCAGGUCUGUAAGUUGGCCUCUCUCUGUGAAGUCAUGAUUCUGCAUCUCUAUGUCCUCUCUGCAGACUCAAACAUGCCCUUAAGCGUGCCUCUUCCAAGGGCUGGAUAAGUGAUGAGUACAUCUGUGUUUGCCAUAUUAUCUAAAAAAUGUCAUAAACACUUAAUGGGGCUGCCAUGCUGCUUAAACAUAUGAACUCAUUUAUUCCUCAAAACAACCUUGAGCAAAUGUUGUAGAAUAAAAGGAAUAAAUAAAAGCAUCAAUUGAUUUCACUUAUGGCAAAGAUCGCUGGACAGUGAGAAGCAUCAGAAAGGAAAAACACAAGAAAGAAUUAUAAGAUGAAGAGACAGCGAAAUAAAAAUAAAGGAGUACAAAAAGCAGCACACUUUGUCUUUACCAGAAAAUAAAAUUUGCCCUGAUAUUUAAAGCGGCAGUUAAGCAAACUGACACUAAAUUCACAUGUAACUAUUCCCUACUCCAUCCUUUAACAGGUCUAGAGUCAGAACAACUUUCAUAAAUGCUAUGGCUAACUUUUCAUCUGUGAGAUUUUAAAAACUAUUCCAUUUACUAAAAAGAUUUCACUGAUCAAUAGUUCCUGUUUAGUUUGUGGGUUAUUAUUAAUUUCCAUUAAUUUAAAAAUAUCAUAAAGGGCAGCAACUAUUUUAUGAAUAAACAUAAUUGCAUCCCC